ACAGGGAGGUAGUGACAAGAAAUAACAAUACAGGACUUUACGGUUUUGUAAUUGGAAUGAGUUAAGUAUAAACCCCUUUACAAGUAUCAAUUGGAGGGCAAGUCUGGUGCCAGCAGCCGCGGUAAUUCCAGCUCCAAUAGCGUAUAUUAAAGUUGUUGCAGUUAAAAAGCUCGUAGUUGGAUUUCUGUUAAUACCUUAUAUAUAAUAUUUUUUUUUAAAUAUUAUUAUGUAAGAUUAACAUAAUUCAUAUUUUUUAAGACUGAAUUUUUAGUUUUGAUAAUAUGAAAUUUUACUUUGAGAAAAUUAGAGUGCUUAAAGCAGGCUUUUGCCUUGAAUACUCCAGCAUGGAAUAAUAAUAAAAGAUUUUUAUCUUUUUUUUAUUGGUUCUAAGAUAAAAAUAAUGAUUAAUAGGGACAGUUGGGGGCAUUUGUAUUUAACAGUCAGAGGUGAUAUUCUUAGAUUUGUUAAAGACAAACUAAUGCGAAAGCAUUUGCCAAGGAUGUUUUCAUUAAUCAAGAACGAAAGUUAGGGGAUCGAAGACGAUCAGAUACCGUCGUAGUCUUAACCAUAAACUAUGCCAACUAGAGAUUGGAGGUUGUUCCUUACUCCUU
rnacentral:rRNA from 1 species